rnacentral:rRNA from 1 species
GACGAACGCUGGCGGCGUGCCUAAUACAUGCAAGUUGAGCGAUGAAGAUUGGUGCUUGCACCAAUUUGAAGAGCAGCGAACGGGUGAGUAACGCGUGGGGAAUCUGCCUUUGAGCGGGGGACAACAUUUGGAAACGAAUGCUAAUACCGCAUAACAACUUUAAACAUAAGUUUUAAGUUUGAAAGAUGCAAUUGCAUCACUCAAAGAUGAUCCCGCGUUGUAUUAGCUAGUUGGUGAGGUAAAGGCUCACCAAGGCGAUGAUACAUAGCCGACCUGAGAGGGUGAUCGGCCACAUUGGGACUGAGACACGGCCCAAAAUCCUACGGGAGGCAGCAGUAGGGAAUCUUCGGCAAUGGACGAAAGUCUGACCGAGCAACGCCGCGGGAGUGAAGAAGGUUUUCGGAUCGUAAAACUCUGUUGGUAGAGAAGAACGUUGGUGAGAGUGGAAAGCUCAUCAAGUGACGGUAACUACCCAGAAAGGGACGGCUAACUACGUG